rnacentral:rRNA from 1 species
CUACGGGACGCACCAGUUGAGAAUUUUUUGCAAUGCACGCAAGUGUGACAAAGUGAACCAGAGUGCUUUUCAUAUUGAAAAGCUUUUGCUAAAUGUAAAAAGUUUGGCGAAUAAGGACUGGGUAAGACGAGUGCCAGCCGCCGCGGUAAUACUCGCGGUCCAAGUCGCAGCCAUUUUUAUUGGGUCUAAAACAUCCGUAGCUUGCUUAAUAAGUCUCCUGUGAAAUCCGAUUUCUCAAAGGUCGGGCGGGCAGGAGGUACUGUUGAGCUAGAGACUGGAAGACGUAAGAAGUAUGUUCAGAGUAGCGGUAAAAUGUGUUAAUCCUGGGCAGACUCACAAUAGCGAAGGCAUCUUACGAGGACAGUUCUGACAGUAAGGGAUGAAGGCUAGGGGCGCAAAACGGAUUAGAUACCCGCGUAGUC